CCCAGCUCGUCAUGCUUGAGCACUUUUUCAAUGUACUCCCCAACGAGAAGGUGACGACGCAUUCGUAUGUCAAUCCAUAUCAACUUUCAAUGCCAUUGACUGUGCCUACCAUGAUGACCAUGGGUAAUGGGGAAUCAGGGUUCGAUUCCGUACAGGGAUCCUGACCGACGGCUACCACAUGCAAGGAAGGUAGCAGGCGCGCAAAUGACCCACUCCUGAUGCGGGAAGGUAGUGACG